rnacentral:rRNA from 1 species
AUUGAACGCUGGCGGUAGGCCUAACACAUGCAAGUCGAACGGCAGCACAGGAGAGCUUGCUCUCUGGGUGGCGAGUGGCGGACGGGUGAGGAAUACAUCGGAAUCCACCUUUUCGUGGGGGAUAACGUAGGGAAACUUACGCUAAUACCGCAUACGACCUACGGGUGAAAGUGGGGGACCGCAAGGCCUCACGCGAUUAGAUGAGCCGAUGUCCGAUUAGCUAGUUGGCGGGGUAAUGGCCCACCAAGGCGACGAUCGGUAGCUGGUCUGAGAGGAUGAUCAGCCACACUGGAACUGAGACACGGUCCAGACUCCUACGGGAGGCAGCAGUGGGGAAUAUUGGACAAUGGGCGCAAGCCUGAUCCAGCCAUACCGCGUGGGUGAAGAAGGCCUUCGGGUUGUAAAGCCCUUUUGUUGGGAAAGAAAUCCUGUCGAUUAAUACUCGGUGGGGAUGACGGUACCCAAAGAAUAAGCACCGGCUAACUUCGUGCCAGCAGCCGCCGUAAAAC